rnacentral:rRNA from 1 species
UACGGAGGGGGCAAGCGUUGUCCGGAUUUAUUGGGCGUAAAGAGCGUGUAGGCGGCCAGACAGGUCCGUUGUGAAAACUAGAGGCUUAACCUCUAGACGUCGAUGGAAACCGUCUGGCUAGAGUCCGGAAGAGGAGAAUGGAAUUCCUGGUGUAGCGGUGAAAUGCGCAGAUAUCAGGAAGAACACCCGUGGCUAAGGCGGUUCUCUAGUACGGUACUGACGCUGAGACGCGAAAGCGUGGGGAGCGAACAGG